GGCAAGAAGGAAUACGACCCCAGAGUUUCUCCUACAUCCAUGGCUUACCCACUGAGCCUCCACACCUUCCCAUCAAGGCUUGGAGGAUAAAUGGAGGAGGAGAAAGCAACAGAGAAAUAAGGGUGGCACUUAUUGCAGAAGGUUCUAGAAUAACUGCAACCACCCCAAGUAUGGGCCAGCUCCCCAUCCCUCCCCAUGCUUCUCCGCAAAGAACAAGGUGUGCCCCCACCUUCACCACACUUGUGCCCUGAGCUCCCAGCGGGGAGGGACUCGAUGGCGACCCUCGUGCUAGAACCUCUCCAUGCUCUCUGACUCCUGCUGAGCCAGCCCACCAGGACCUGAGCUGCCCCUGACACCCAGGCACCCAUAGGGGCCUUCUGGGGCCAGCCUUGGGCCAGAGUCCACCUUCCUGCAGCCACAGACCCUGGGGCUGCUGAGUGCAGGGGACAGGGGAUCUUUUUCUCUGUUUUCUGGCAUCUUCGCUAUAACGAUAGCAUUUUGCUGUGUCCAUAAACAAUCCCAGAAUGCAAAAGUGAACAGAGUGGAUCAAGACAUCCACUUUCUAAGCCAGGUGUUGUGGUAUGCACCUGUGGUCCCAGCUACGCAGGAGGCUGAGGUGGGAGGAUCGCUUGAGCCCACAAGGUUGAGGCUGCAGUGAGCUAGGACCUCACCACUGCACUCCAGCCUGGGUAACAGAGCGAGACACUGUCUAUUAAAAAAUUUUUUUUGAAUUACAAAUUACAAAAGGAGGAUGGGCACAGAGGCUCAUACCUGUAAUUCUUGAAUUUUUGGAGGCCAAGGGGGUAGGAUCUCUUGAGCCCAGGAAUUUGAGACCAGCCUGGGCAACAUAGCAAGACUCCAUCUCUAUCCCCCCAAAUACAAAAAUUAGCCAGGCAUGACGGCACACACCUAUAGUCCCAGCUACUCAGGAGGCUGAGGUGUGAGGAUCACCUGAGCCCAGGAGAGCAAGGCUGCAGUGAGCCAUGAUCAUGCCACUACACUCUAGCCUGGAUGACACAGCAAGACCCUGUCUAAAAUAAAUAAAUAAAAAUAAAAUUUUAAAAGGAAAUUAAAUUUCUAAAAAGGAAAGGGAGUGAUCAUAGUGAAUUAGAAUCAGAAACGAGGGCCGGGUGUGACGGUUCACAUCUGUAAUCCCAGCACUUUAGGAGGCUGAGACAGGAGGAUCACUUGAAGACAGGAGUUCAAGAUCAGCCUGGGAAACAUUGCAAGACCUCAUCUCUACAAUAAAAAAAAAAAAAAUUAGCCAGGCAUGGUGGCGCACAUUUGUAGUCCCAGCUACUUGGAAGGCUGAAGUGGGAGGAUCAUGUGAGCCCAGGAGGUGGAGACUGUAGUGAGCCAUGAUCGUGCCACUGGGCGACACAGCCUGGGGGACAGAGCCUCCCAAGUAGCUGUCUCAAAAAAAAAAAAAAAAAAA
rnacentral:lncRNA from 1 species